rnacentral:rRNA from 1 species
GAUGAACGCUGGCGGCGUGCCUAAUACAUGCAAGUCGAGCGAACAGACGAGGAGCUUGCUCCUCUGACGUUGGCGGCGGACGGGUGAGUAACACGUGGAGAACCUACCUAUAAGACUGGGAUAACUUCGGGAAACCGGAGCUAAUACCGGAUAAUAUAUUGAACCGCAUGGUUCAAUAGUGAAAGACGGUUUUGCUGUCACUUAUAGAUGGAUCCGCGCCGCAUUAGCUAGUUGGUAAGGUAACGGCUUACCAAGGCAACGAUGCGUAGCCGACCUGAGAGGGUGCUCGGCCAGACUUGAACGGAUACACUGGCCAGGCUCCUACGGGAGGCAGCAGUAGGGAAUCUUCCGCAAUGGGCGAAAGCCUGACGGAGCAACGCCGCGUGAGUGAUGAAGGUCUUCGGAUCGUAAAACUCUGUUAUUAGGGAAGAACAAAUGUGUAAGUAACUAUGCACGUCUUGACGGUACCUAAUCAGAAAGCCACGGCUAACUACGUGCCAGCCGCCGCAGUAA